rnacentral:lncRNA from 1 species
AACAGUUGGCCAUAUCGCAAAGCAUGAGGUUAAGACUAUGGCAACCACAUGGCAUGUAAAAUUCUCUAGGAUUUCUAGACCUGGAAAACGGGCCGGGUUGGCCCAAAUGGGCCGGGCCAAAAUGGCCCGGGUUUUUGUGGGCUAAAAUUAAGCAACCCGGGGGCUUUUUAAUAUAUAUAUUUUUUUAAAAUCUGUAAAUAAGUGAGAGGAUACAAAAAGUAAAUCAAAAUUAAAUGCUGCAAGGUAAAGCCCCUCUCAUACAUAAACAUAUAGUAAAUUGCAGUAGUCCUAAGAUGCACAUUACUCUGUGCAUUCUUAUCUAUACUGUCGCUGCUGUGUCUAUUACUAAUUUACUAUGAAUGAAAAUAAAAUUCAAAAAUAUCUGUUAGAAGCCACUGUAAAACUGGGCUCUCAUCUCUGGUCUUCAUAUCAGGUUGCAUCAGCACCACCGUUAUCAGAUUCACUUUCUGCACUACUGUUACUAUUAUCAGUGUCCUCGUCUUGCAUCUUUCUAAUUUCUUCACCGACCCAUUCCCCAACCGAGUUUCUUGGUGAUUCCCUGAUGCCAAGGUGGUCAUCGUAAUGACCCAACAUCAUCUCUUCAACAACCUUAUUCUCUCUUCUACUCCUGACACAUACUAACAAGUUAGCUUACUAACUUUUAGCUUCCAUCUCAUUUGCAAUAUAAUAACCGUAUAAACAUGUAUUUCUUCCUUUCCAUAGCCAACUGAAAUUAUCAACUAUAUGCAUACUAACUAAUUUUGAAAAUAACCAAAUCACAGUUUACACCUUAUACCAAUUAUUUUUGCAAAAUCUAAUAUACUAACUGUUUUUGAAAACCAAUUACCAAUCUUUGCAUAUUCAAUUCCCAUAACUUGAUAGCAUAACACAAUCAUUAUCAAAACUAAACCCAUAAUUCAAUACAUAUUAUACUAACAAAUAAACAAACCCAUCUCAGUUAGCUAUCUUUGAUAAUUUGCAUAUUUUUAACUAUUUUUCAUACAUAUAACCAUAUGACUGAUAUGAGCUAACUUCCAAUUUAAUUACCAUACUGGGAUGCAAGCACAGGCGAUACUGGGAUGCAAGAACUGCAACUGGAUGUCAAUCUAAAACCACAGACUGAUGAGUAAAAACAAAAACCAUCAAUUUACAUAAUUACUACAAAAUGCAUUUAAUACUCCAUCCGAUUUUCACCUCAAAGGUUACAAAUAAAUUUAAGGAUCCAUUUCCUAUUAUUUAUCCAUCACCCAGGACUACAAUAAAAUCAUCACAAAGAUUUAAGCCAUGAAAAUAGGAUAAUUAACAGAGAAAAAAAAAGAACAUACCAGGAUCACACACCUAAAGAAACUUCUCAACUUCUGCAACAGAUAAAGAUAAACUAACAAUCAGUAAAACCCUCAUAAAAAUAAAAUAAAAAGUAUAUACCAAAUUAAUCAAUUAACUUUAAAUAACUUCGAAGAAAAAAAAUGCGAAUCGGUGGUAAAAGCCUUUAUCAAGCCAGCCCUUCUGCCUUUGAAGUCGUUAAAAACCUGAUUGCUGAUUCCUGUAAAGUUGAUUAAUUUAAUCAGGGGUUUGCAGUGAAAUUGAAUAAGGAGCUACAAUUGAAUUAAGGUUUUGGACAGAGCUAGGGUUUCUUAGCCAUUGUUGCCAGCUCAGACAUGUGGGUAAUCAACAUUUGAUAAUCUCUUCUUUCUAUAAGAACAUAUAAUAUCAUAUAAAUCCAAAAAUAUACAGAUAAAUUGCUUGCAGCUAAACACAAAAACAUAUAAUAUCAUAAACCCAUAAAUAUAAAUUGGUAGAUUCUAGAUCUAGUCUAAUCCGGUUCAUAACCCCUUAAAAUAUCUUAUUGAAAUGAGAGCGGAAAAAUACCUGAGACAGUGAGACGUCAGACGAGGACGUCGAAGAGAAUAGAGUAGGGUUUUAGCCUUUUAGGGGAGAGGAGGAACUGCCGAAGUGCCGAACUGUGAAGCAGUGAAGUGAGGUCGAGGAGAAUAGCGUCGAUUGAUCGAAGUGAAGUGAAUUGAGGUGGUGCUAUCUCAUACUCUCUGUCUCAGACUCUCAAUCCCGUACUCCCUUUAUUAUGCCGGUAGUUAACCCUUAGCGAGGAGUCAGGAGAUUAGAGAAUAGAGAUAGAGAUAGG